UCCCUGAUAGCUCAGAUGGUAAAGCAUCUGCCUGCCAUGAGGAAGACCCGGGUUCAAUCCCCGGUUUGGGAA